rnacentral:rRNA from 1 species
UACGGGGGGGGUAAGCGUUGUUCGGAAUUACUGGGCGUAAAGGGCUCGUAGGCGGCCAACUAAGUCAGACGUGAAAUCCCUCAGCUUAACUGGGGAACUGCGUCUGAUACUGGAUGGCUUGGAUCCGGGAGAGGGAUGCGGAAUUCCAGGUGUAGCGGUGAAAUGCGUAGAUAUCUGGAGGAACACCGGUGGCGAAGGCGGCAUCCUGGACCGACACUGACGCUGAGGCGCGAAAGCUAGGGGAGCAAACGGG